UGAGGAAUUUUGCUCAAUGGGCGCAAGCCUGAAGCAGCGACGCCGCGUGAACGAUGAAGUCUUUCGGGAUGUAAAGUUCUGUCAGCAGGGAAAAUUAUGAUGGUACCUGCAGAGGAAGCACCGGCAAACUAUGUGCCAGCAGCCGCGGUAAUACAUAGGGUGCAAGCGUUGUCCGGAUUUAUUGGGCGUAAAGAGCGUGUAGGUGGUGAUGUAAGUCAAAAUUAAAAUUCAGAGGCUCAACUUCUGAAUGGGUUUGAUACUGCAUCGCUAGAGAUUGGGAGAGGAAAGCGGAACAAACAGUGUAGCGGUGAAAUGCGUAGAUAUUGUUUGGAACACCCGUGGCGAAGGCGGCUUUCUGGACCAAUUCUGACACUGAGACGCGAGAGCGUGGGGAUCAAACAGG
rnacentral:rRNA from 1 species